UUGACAUUUAAAUGUUUUUAAUUUCACAUUUAAACAGACACUCCUAAACAGAUGUAGUGAUUUUGAAAAUUUAGAAUUUCAAAGGGCCAGUUUCUGAGAAUUUUUCUUCUGAGAAUCCAUUUAUUAAGGAAAAUAGAACUGUUUUUUUGCCUGCUCCUGGGAAAUAGCUGUCAAAAUCCCAGAGGCCCAGAAAAAGUGUAUUUGGGUCUCCCUCAUGUCACACAAGUGACACUGUCUUCUUACCUGAGAACCAGGCUGCUCCAGCACUAGGCAGUUGUCCCUUAACUGUCUGUGAAUGUCUGGGAUUAUUCAGACCACAAAUAGAUAUGGACAGCUUACUAUUCUUCAUAGCACAACUGAGCAAGACUGCUUAGCACUGGAGGGGGUCCGGACCCCAGUAUUAUUUGGUUACACUAUGCAAUCUGGCUGUAAACUAAGACUGACUGGAGCUCUCCCGUGUCAGCUCGUAGCACAGAAGGUGAAGAGCCUGCUGUGGGGCCAGGGCUUCCCAGAUUACGUGGCCCCUUUUGGAAAUUCCCAGGCCCAGGACAUGCUGGACUGGGUGCCCAUCCACUUCAUCACCCAGUCAUUCAACAGGAAGGAUUCCUGCCAGCUCCCAGGGGCUUUGGUUAUAGAAGUGAAGUGGACUAAAUACGGAUCCCUGCUGAAUCCACAGGCCAAAAUAGUCAAUGUAACUGCAAAUCUAAUUUCAUCCUCCUUUCCUGAGGCCAACUCAGGAAAUGAAAGGACGAUUCUUAUUUCCACUGCGGUUACUUUUGUGGAUGUGUCUGCACCUGCAGAGGCAGGCUUCAGAGCUCCACCAGCCAUCAAUGCCAGGCUGCCCUUUAACUUCUUCUUCCCGUUUGUUUGACAAUGCUCAGAUGCAUCAGUUCCUUAAUAUACACGUGAAAUUUGAAAACUUACAUUCGGUGAGAUUAAAUUUUAUAUACAACUAGCAA
rnacentral:sRNA from 1 species